rnacentral:rRNA from 1 species
CCUACGGGGGGCAGCAGUGAGGAAUAUUGGUCAAUGGACGAGAGUCUGAACCAGCCAAGUAGCGUGAAGGAUGACUGCCCUAUGGUUUGUAAACUUCUUUUAUAUGGGAAUAAAAUGUUCCACGUGUGGGAUUUUGUAUGUACCAUAUGAAUAAGGAUCGGCUAACUCCGUGCCAGCAGCCGCGGUAAUACGGAGGAUCCGAGCGUUAUCCGGAUUUAUUGGGUUUAAAGGGAGCGUAGGUGGAUUGUUAAGUCAGUUGUGAAAGUUUGCGGCUCAACCGUAAAAUUGCAGUUGAAACUGGCAGUCUUGAGUACAGUAGAGGUGGGCGGAAUUCGUGGUGUAGCGGUGAAAUGCUUAGAUAUCACGAAGAACUCCGAUUGCGAAGGCAGUUCACUGGACUGCAACUGACACUGAGGCUCGAAAGUGUGGGUAUCAAACAGGAUUAGAUACCCUAGUAGUC